rnacentral:rRNA from 1 species
UACGAAGGGGGCUAGCGUUGUUCGGAUUUACUGGGCGUAAAGCGCACGUAGGCGGAUCGAUCAGUCAGGGGUGAAAUCCCAGAGCUCAACUCUGGAACUGCCUUUGAUACUGUCGAUCUGGAGUAUGGAAGAGGUGAGUGGAAUUCCGAGUGUAGAGGUGAAAUUCGUAGAUAUUCGGAGGAACACCAGUGGCGAAGGCGGCUCACUGGUCCAUUACUGACGCUGAGGUGCGAAAGUGUGGGGAGCAAACAGG